AUUGUGUUAAGUUUAUCAUCAAUUCGGUAAUUUCAUUGCUAUUAAUAAUAAUCGACCUGUUUUGUGGUAUUGAACCGUGGUAGUACGUACACGGAAGGUUGAAUACUCGCUGACCUGUGAUAAUCCUUUGGCGAUUAGUUUCUAACUGUAGAUAGGCAUAUAGGCACAAUUUUAGAGCGGCAGAUACGGUCGAGAAAGCUAGGUGGAGUCGGUGGAGGACGGGACGAACCGGUUACAAUCAAGUCAAAAAGGAUGCGCGCGACCACGCGUUCUAUUGAUUCCAUGACCUGAAGCUGAAAGUGAUGUGCCAAUUUGUGGAAGGAAAGUAGCAAAAUCAAGAUUCAGCUUAUACCAUCUUUUCUUUUUAAAAAUUUCUGUAUAUAGAAUUUCUUGAUGAAGUUAAAUCACUAAUAAUAAUAAAAGAAUGUAUUUAAUAU